rnacentral:rRNA from 1 species
UACGUAGGUGGCAAGCGUUUGUCCGGAUUUACUGGGCGUAAAGAGCGCGCAGGCGGUCGAAUAAGUCGAAUGUGAAAGCCCCCGGCUUAACUGGGGAGGGUCAUUCGAUACUGCUCGACUUGAAGGCAGGAGAGGGUAGUGGAAUUCCCGGUGUAGUGGUGAAAUGCGUAGAUAUCGGGAGGAACACCAGUGGCGAAGGCGACUACCUGGCCUGUUCUUGACGCUGAGGCGCGAAAGCUGGGGGAGCAAACGGG